GCAGUGGCAUGGUAACCGAGGGCUCAAAGUCGGGCUCGCAUCCCGGGGACUCGCAGAGACUGGACUGCGCCUGCGGCAAGGAAGGACGGAGCAGAGCCACCUGAGGCCGAGCGGGAGCCAGACCCAGGGAUGACCGUCCUGGGGAGCCCCUCUGCACCCCGGAGGGGACGCAGGACGCCCGGAGCAGUCCCAGGCCCUGCCCCUCGCUUCACCCACGGAGCUCCUAGGUCUCUAUCGUGCCCAUCGUACCCGCUGCCCUGCACUUCCGCCCCAAGCUGGUGGAGGAGGGAGGGUGUCGCAGACACGGGAGCGCCGCGGACCUCCUACAGUCACCGUCCUGCGGCGCAUCGCGGGUGACCCAACAGCCUCCCGCUGCUCCCGAAAGUGGGACGGGGCCGGCGGAUCAUCCUCCAAGCCGGGGGCGGCCACAGGCCCGAUCAAUGCCAGGAUUCCUCCGACUCCAAGAAAGGCGACGGGGAGAAGCAGGAGGACUCGGAUGACUCCGGCACCAGGGAGGAGGGCGCCCGGGCCUCGCCGUCGCCAGGGCGGUCGGGACGGGGGGUGGCGGGCGGCGCGGGGCAGGGCCCGGUGCCCGGGAGGCCGCGGGAAGCGGGGGGCGUCGAGCCGUCGGGGGCCGAGCUCAGCAGCUCUUGCAGGUACUUUAUGUAGCGGAUGGCGGCGCGCAGCGUCUCCACCUUGCUGAGUCGCUUCUCAGCCAGGGCGCCGGGGAGGUGGCCGCGGAGGCGAGCGUAGCCCUCGUUGACGCACUUGACUCGCUGCCUCUCGCGCUCGUUGCGCUUCUGGAUGAAGGCUGGCUCGAAGGGGUAUUCGUAGACCCCGAAGGCGCCGGGGAAGGGCACGUAGGGGAACACCCCCGCAUAGGCGUCGUAGUAGGGCGGCUCUGCUGGGCCCGGGUACAGCAGGAAGGGCACGUUGCCCAGGGGCUCGGCGGGGGGCAGGGGCGCCUGCCGGGGAGGGGGCAUGACGCCCAGCUGCAUGCAGCUGGGGGGCCCCAGAGGCCUCCGGUCCACCAGAGCCCGGCAGAAGUUAUUGUUCAUGGUGCCGCGUGGAGCUGGACCCAGAGCGAGGCCUCCACCGAAUGGCCCCGGCUUGGGGUCUGCACCGUCUCCACCAGUGGGGCAAGUCACAUCGCUAGCAGCAGCUCUUGGGUACCAGGACUUGCUAGGGCCUCUUUUCGCCCUUUAGGGUGGCUUCCAAUGACUCCCUAACAAGAGCCAUCGCCCUAGACAAGUGUGGCCCCUCUCAGGAGGUCGGUGCACGCCUUCUCAGAGCCAGCCCAUGGCGCCGCGGAACUCUGAGGGCCCGCACCCCGUUCCGCAGCACCCAUGGGCAUGGCCACAGACCCGCCCACCCUGCCUCUUGCUGCCACCCAACAUGGGCACCUCAGGCCUAAACCACGGGCUCCAUGUCCUCCACACCCACCCCAGCGCCUGGUCCUUGGUCCUCGCGGCCUUCGGGAUCCCCGGGCUGUCCGGGGUCCCCAAACUGAUGGCUGCUGUUAGGAGUGCGCCAGCUCAGUGGAGGGAGUCCCCGGGAACAUUUCUAAAGAAGAGGAGAGGAGAGUGAACAUAUCAGUUAGGAAAGACCUGUAUUAUGGGCUUCUUUGUAUCAUCCCCACCCGCAAACGGGAUUGUAAGCCUCAUGAGGAGAGGCGGUUGGCUACUGAAGGGGCACAGAUCUGGGUUAAAAUCUUGUGUCCACUCCUUAAUAGUCGGGUGACCACUCUGAGUCGUGGUUUCCAUAACGGAAGGGCAAGGGAAACAUCCUUGACAGGAAAUUAAUAAGAUAUGAGAAUCAAAUGUGAAAAAAUAUAUGCAAAAAACACCUCCUAAAGGUCAUAGCUUAUAAAAAUGCCCAGUUUUGUCAUGUCCCUUGAGACUGGGGGAUUAAGUCUCAUCACUGAUCCCUUCCGGGGUCUUACAUCUAGAAGCGGGUCUGAGACUGCUUAUUGGAUUAGCAGCAGCAGCCAUCAGCCAAUGAGGGAAGCCAACUCUUUAUGGAAAGGAAUGCCUCUUUGAUAACAAGGUAGGUGUUGCUGGUCCAUUCAAAGCCCUCUGCCUGGCAGAGACAGUCAUCAAAGCCUUCCCUGCCCCAGUCCCUGUGGUCUGGGAUACACCCUCUCACCCCACCCUGGGUUUCUCCAUGGCACCUAAUGGAGCUGUCUAUUCUUUCACCUGUAUGCCCUGAGCCUAGCCCAGCCCCUGUUGAGUAUUAGAUGCUCCACAAAUACAUGUGGAAUAACAGAGAGAGGAUUAGGCAGAAAGCUGGGUUUGUCAGGGUGGGACUGAUUACACGUAGCCUUUCAUAGGCUUUAGGAAGUUGUUAUUUCAGAAAUAAUUGGUGUGUGUUGAGUUUAGGUGCCACCAAGCUUCAUUGCAUGUGGUUAUCAGAUCCAAGUUAGGUGCCAUUUUGUCUAGGAAGCCUCUCUGAUCGCACUCCCCCCUCUUGUGUGUGUCUACAGUGUUCCAUAAGUGCCAUCUUAGCACUUAUCACACUACUCUAUUAUUUUUUCCCUCUUCAUAAAAGAUGAUCAGGACUUAGCGAGUGAGUGAGUGAUGGGCAGCAUGACACCUUGGCCACUGGGCACGGCCUCUCCAAGAGACAGAAAGGAGCUAGCUCUCUCCCUGACAGGAGGAGGUGGUGGCAAACUCAGAUUCCCGAGAAUGUCUCCUUCUGCACCCUCUCACCUCUGUCCUUUUUGCAGGCCCUGAGUCUGUUUCCAGCUAGCUUUGUCCUCCACACUAAAUGAGGACCAAGAAAAAUCAACAAUGAUUCUAAGCGUCAUGGAGACUUAGGUAUGCUCUCAAAAGUGAAACCAGGCCGGGCAUGGUGGCUCACGCCUGUAGUCCCAGCACUUUGGGAGGCUGAGGUGGGCAGAUCACUUGAGGACAGGAGUUCGAGACCAGCCUGGCCAACAUGAUGAAACCCUGUCUCUACUAAAAAUACAAAAACUAGCUGGGUGGAAUGGUGGGUGCCUGUAAUCCCAGCUAAUUGGGAGGCUGAGACAGAAGAAUCGCCUGAACCUGGGAGGUGGAGGGUGCAGUGAACCAAGAUCAUGCCACUGCAUUCCAGCCUGGAUGACAGAGCAAGACUCCAUUAAAAAAAAAAGAGUGAAACCAAAUGUCUGAGAAUUCAGGACAAAUUCACAUAUCCCUCCCCUUCUCAGUGGCCUUCAAAGCCUCCCCGUUGCUUUCAAGAGAAGGUUCUAGAAAAUGUCUCCCAAACAGACCUUCAGAUCUCUCAGGUCAAUCUUCUCUGGAACUCUUUGCUUUCCGGAUCUCACACUUGGCUUGUGCUGGCUCCGGUCCUGGGGGCCCUCUCUACAUCUCUCUGCUUUACCCAGAGUCCUGCCAUCCUUGAUUCCAGCUCCUGCCCAUCCUGACUGCCUGAGCGCUCCGGCUUCCAACAUGGGUUGUGCAUUCUAAGAUGGCACAUUCUCUUUAAGGUUGUGCAUUCUAUGUCUUCAACCAGAAUGUAAGCAGUCGGAAGGCAGGGGCUAGGGCUUUUAUUUCUCAGGUAACACCUAUCAGUCCCUUGCUCAAAAUGAUUUUCUAGCGGUUCUCUUUUAUUGUACAAAUUUGGGAUCCAGACUACACUCUCCCAUAUGAUCCCUGUCUAUUCAUAUUUGACUUAAUUAUUUAAAUUUAAUUUGAUAGGGGUCAGAAGUUUAUGACAAUUUUAACAAGUACAACUUACUAUUUGUUCAUGUUGAUUUAAUAUUCAUAACUUAUUUAUUUUCCUCAUAUACUAUUUACCUUUUUUCAUACAACAAUUCAGAAAGGUGAUUCAAACAAGAAACUUCACAGCAGGACUAUGUAUUUCUUAAGCCAAUUCUGUCUUUACUGUUAGAAAAGAACUGAUAAGCCAGGCGAGGUGGCUCAUGCCUG
rnacentral:lncRNA from 1 species